ensembl:lncRNA
AUGUUAUUAAAGUGAGGAAUGAACUAAAAUUCACCUUCAAAAUAAACUUUUACUCCAAAGUAUUAAAAAUAUUUUCUCUGUUGCUGGAAUUAAUGAGAUUUUUAAUUAUCUUCUUUAUACUUUUUCUAUCUUUCCUAAAUGCUCUUAAACAAACAAACAUUCCUUGUAUUUUCAGUGAUAAAUUCAAGUUAAGUCAAAUUCAUGAGAAUAUCAACAUUUAGAGAUUGAACCACUCCUCACUACUUGUGGAAGUGAGCCUUUGUUCCCUAUACUGCAAGUCUUCAAUCUCCACCUUCACUUCACUUAUAGCUGUCAAAAGUGAUGCAACUGCAAAAGAGUAAUUCCAAGGAAAUUGUGGAGCCUCAACCGUGUUAUAUCCAAUACACAGUCAUCCACAAGUUUUGCAAUACACAUAUCCGUAAGUUUUGCAAACCUGCAGAUACAAAGAGCCAACUGUAAUCACUGUAUAUCCCUUAUGUAAGGCAUUUG